CAAAUAUUUGUGCUUAUAAGUUAGUGUGUAUGUAUAAUAUGCAACUAUGAUUGAUGUGUCCAACCCACCGCACAACACUCACAACCAUUUAUUUAUUUGGAUUCCAUUGCCUGUCCACUUUGCGAAGGUCUUCCGUUCAUCAACAACAGUCAUAACCUGAUCCACAAUUUUCUUCACCAUUUCAGUAACAAUCGAAAUUUCAGUGCAGCAGACAGCCGUGAAAGAAAAAUUAUAAAAAUAAUAUAGCAAAAAAAUAUAUAUAGAGAGCUAUAUAUAACAGCCAUAAAUAAGCGCAAAAACAACAAUAAAAAUGACCGAAGUUGAACAGCAGCCACCGCCACAGAAUGGCAUAGACUUAUCCGCCGCCGAGGAAGAUGAUAGCAGUAAAGCGCGACCAGCAGAUAUUGAGCAGGAUAUGCGUGAAAUGGAGCGCCGCAAGCGUGUUGAGGCCAUUAUGGGUUCCAAGCUCUUUCGCGAAGAAUUGGAGCGCAUUGUGGAUUCCGCACGUGAUGGUGGCGGCAUACUGCAACAGCUGUCCGAUAUAAUGGGCGUACCGACAUCAACGCGCGUUGGUAAUGUCUUCAAGGCUACGAAUUGUAUGCUGCCAAUCAAUGAUAUACGCGGCGUUGAAUCGAUGGGCUAUGCCAAGGGUGAGAAGAUUUUGCGUUGCAAAUUGGCUGCCACAUUCCGUUUGUUGGAUUUAUACGGUUGGACGCAAGGAUUGGGUGCACAAAUUACCGCACGUCUUAAGGUUGAUCAGGAGAAUUUCCUUGUGAAUCCAUAUGGCAUGAUGUAUCACGAAAUCACGGCGUCAUCGCUGAACAGAGUUGAUAUGCAGGGUCAGAUUGUGGAGCAGGGCACCACCAAUUUCGGAGUGAACAAGAAUCACUUCGCCUUGCACUCGGUGGUACAUGCCGCCCGCCCCGACAUCCGUUGCGCCAUCUACAUUGGCUGCACACCCGUCGUUGCUGUCUCUUCGCUAAAGGUCGGUCUACUGCCAUUGACACGCGACGCUUGCGUUUUGGGUGAAAUAACCACACACUCAUACACGGGCACACAAAUGGAUGCCGAUGAACGUGAUCGACUGGUGCGCGCACUCGGUCCCAACUCCAAGGUGUUGAUACUCAGCAAUUAUGGUGCAUUGUGUUGUGGUGAAACCAUCGAAGAGGCAUUCUUUGCUGCCAGCCAUAUUGUUAAGGCAUGUGAAACACAAUUACAACUACUGCCAGUUGGUGUAGACAAUUUGGUUUUGAUACCAGAGGAAUCGCGUAAAGCGAUUUUUGCAGAUGCUCGCCGCCCACCUGAGGAUUUGGAGAAGAAAUUUGCAGCUGCUGUGGCUACAGUCGAAGCAAAUGCUGCUGAGGCCGCAGGCGCUGCUGAUGGUGCUGCUGAUGGUAGUGGAGCAAUCGCUGUUAAAGCUGCUGUUGCUGGUGGCGCACCCAAGUGGCGUGUAGGUGGCGCUGAAUUUGAAGCGCUUAUGCGCAUGCUGGACAACGCCGGCUAUCGUACGGGUUACAUUUAUCGCCAUCCACUUAUUAAAUCGGAUCCGCCAAAGCCGAAGAAUGAUGUUGAACUGCCACCAGCGGUUAGCUCGCUGGGUUAUCUACUCGAGGAAGAGGAACUCUUGAAGCAAGGCAUUUGGAAGAAGGGCGAUUUGCGCAAGGGCGGCGAUCGAAGCCGAUGGCUCAACUCGCCAAAUGUCUAUCAGAAGGUUGAAGUACUGGAAACAGGCACACCCGAUCCCAAGAAGAUUACAAAGUGGGUCGCUGAAGGUUCACCAACACACUCUACACCAGUACGCAUCGAAGAUCCGUUGCAAUUUGUGCCAGCGGGAACAAAUCCAAAAGAAUUCAAGCGCUUGCAACAACAGAUCAAAGACAAUCGUCGCGCUGAUAAAAUAUCCGCCGGACCACAAUCACACAUCCUCGAAGGCGUUACAUGGGAUGAGGCCAAUCGCAUUAAGGAUGCGACUGUUUCAUCAGCCGGCGAUCAUGUUGUGCUAAUGGGCGCCGCCUCCAAGGGCAUCAUACAACGUGGCUAUCAGCAUAAUGCGGCCGUUUACAAAGCACCAUAUGCCAAGAACCCAUUCGAUAAUGUAACCGAUGAUGAAUUGAAUGAAUACAAACGCACGGUGGAGCGUAAGAAGAAGAGCAUUCAUGGUGAAUAUACCGAUACUGAUUUCUCCGAAUCGGAGCCGUUGAGUUCGAUGCCAAUCUCAGCACCACAACAGACGAAGCAAUUAACAAUCACAACUGCCGCAGUUAGUCAAUCAGAACCAGAAGAUGUUUCAGAACACCAAGUGAUGAGAAUAGAAACUAAACAAGCGCCAGUUCCAAGCCAACCCGAAUUAGUAUUGAGCGAUGCAACUCUAAGUUUCAUAAAUGGCGAACGUUCUCAUACGGCUGUGAAUCGAAAACCGCCUACGGGCCGAGGUGAGAAUGUACAAAAUGGUGAUCAUUCUGAGGCUCAUUUGAGCACAUUUUCACAAAGCAGUAAAGAGUUCCAGGAUGUGUCCACAGAUGGUUCGCCCAAGAAAGACAAGAAGAAGAAGAAGGGACUUAGGACACCAUCGUUUUUGAAGAAGAAGAAGGAGAAGAAGAAGGCCGAAGCUUAAGUUCAAAAACGAUUAACAGCUUAAAGCAGAAUAUGUUAUAGAAAAAGAGAGUAAAAAAAAGCAAAAAACAAGUAAAUUAAUGCAGCUAAGUGAAAAGUGUGGUAGAAAAGGACUAAACAAAAGGCAAUGAUAUGCAGAAUGGGCAGCUGUUUCUACAUAAAUUAGAUAUAAUAAAAAAAAUUAAGGAAAACAAUGCAUAAUAACAGCUAAAUUGGAAUGUCUACAACAACUACAGAAAAACGCAAUGACAUAUUUAUGCAUGCAACAGCAAUAACAACAAACAGAAAGAGCAAUUGCAUUUGAAUAAAAUUUCCAAAUACAACGGAAAUAAAAAUUUUACAGAAUCAAACAAUAGCCAACACACAACAAAUCAAACGAAUUAAGAGCAAAAGCAUAAAAGCGAUGAUGCACGAAAAACCAGCGAACAUUUAAAAUUUAAAAACGUAAUAAAGCAAAUGAAAUAAAAUAUAAUUAAUUUAAUUUAAGCGAAAAGGGGCAAUGACGACAGCGAGCGUAACAAACAAAAUGCUGAAGAGAGUAAUCUAUUUUGCCAAGCGAGGCGAAAUGCAAAUUUAUUAAUGAGACAUUAAUGCGUAUGACGAUUAUAAUGAAAAUUACAAUUAUUAUUGUACGUAUUUUAUUAUUGCAAACAAAACGAAGUAAAAAAAAAAACCAAAUGCAGCAUUCAGAAAUACACAAACAAAAACUUUGAAGAACACAACAUUUUAUAAUAAAUAUAUGUUUAAUAUAUACAAAAAACAGGUAAAUAAAUUUAGAUUUGUGAAAAGCAGUGUCAGAAAACAAAAAAGAAAAUUGAUGAGAAAUGAGAAAUGAUUAGUGUUGGCAAACGCUAAAACGAAGUGCAUUCAAUUGUGGGCGAGUGGGAUGCAUAUCUACAUCCAUACAUGCAUUAUUAAACAGGACAUAUGUACAUACGUACUUCGAGCGAAUGUCAGCGGCAAAAAAAAAAAAAUGGUUAUCUUACUUAGCCACGCCCUGAAAGUUGUAAAACUCGGCUGGGCCGAUACCUUAGAGCGUUAGUCGUUGGAUAGGUAUUUUUAAAUAUUCAUUAUUUUUACACUUCAAAUGAAGAUAUUCUUCACUUCAUUAUUACUUCUAUGGAAACUAAAUAGUAAAUAGAUUCAGUGAAAUCUUAAAGUAAUUGAGUUAGUAGCUGGUCGAUAGAGGUACUUUUGGUCAGCAUUAUCUGAAAAAGAUAUAUGUAUAGUGCUUAAAAAUACUUUUCCAAAUUCAUGAAUUUCCCGGGUCAUAAAUAAAAAUCGUAUAAAAAAAUUUCGAAAUUUUCUGUUUUUUUUUUUGGGCGUGGGCGUAUGCCAUCAAACUGGGGACUGUUAUUACAAAACUUUUUUCGCAACUGAGACUAGUACAUACGUAUGUACGUAGUACAUAAAUACUGCAGAAAACGAUUGCAUAUAUAAUUCAAUUCUUUCUUAAGUCGACUUAGGCGGUUAUUGCUUAUGACCACAGACAUAUAUUUUUAGAAAGGACUGUCGCGCAGCGAGUGUUGGCACACACUAAAACUGUAGCGCAAUACGGAAAAUUUGUUUACAAUUAAAAUCUCUUAUAGCAUUUAAAAACUUAAAAAAAAAUUAAAAUCAAGUGCAAAGCAA
rnacentral:misc_RNA from 1 species